GGCCUAUGAUGUGAUGAUGAUAUUUGCUACUCUUGAUGGUGAGACCUAUGAUGAACAUUUUCCACCAAGAUCUCUGAGGCC